rnacentral:rRNA from 1 species
UACGGAAGGGGCGAGCGUUGUUCGGAAUCAUUGGGCGUAAAGGGCGCGUAGGUGGUGCUGUAUGUCUCCCGUGAAAGCCCACGGCUCACCUGUGGGAGGGCGGGAGAAACUGCAGGACUUGAGGCUGGGAGGGGCUGGUGGAAUUCCCUGUGUAGCGGUGAAAUGCGUAGAGAUGGGGGAGAACACUCGUGGCGAAGGCGGCCAGCUAGACCAGUUCUGACACUGAGGCGCGACAGCGUGGGGAGCAAAC